UUGUCUCAAAGAUUAAGCCAUGCAUGUCUAAGUACAAGCCUCACUAAGGUGAAACCGCGAAUGGCUCAUUAAAUCACACCUAAUCUACUGGAUAGUCAACAGUUACUUGGGUAACUGCGGUAAUUCUGGAGCUAAUACAUGCACAAAGCCCCGAACUUACGUGAGGGGUGCUUUUAUUAGAUCAAAACCAAACGGCUUCGGCUGUUCUCUUGGUGACUCUGAAUAACUUUGGGCUGAUCGCAUAGCCUAGCGCUGGCGACAUAUCCUUCGAAGGUGUGCCCUAUCAACUGUCGACUGUGGCAUAGACGCCCACAGUGGUUUUGACGGGUAACGGGGAAUCAGGGUUCGAUUCCGGAGAGGGAGCCUUAAAAACGGCUACCACAUCUAAGGAAGGCAGCAGGCACGCAAAUUACCCAAUGACCGAAGGUCGAGGUAGUGACGAAAAAUAACGAUACGGGACUCAUCCGAGGCCCCGUAAUCGGAAUGAUUACACUUUAAAACCGUCCCAGAGGACCCAUUGGAGGGCAAGUCUGGUGCCAGCAGCCGCGGUAAUUCCAGCUCCAAUAGCGUAUAUUAAAGUUGUUGUGGUUAAAAAGCUCGUAGUUGGAUCUCGGCAGUCCGAGGGCGGUUCACUUGCUAGUGUUACUGCCUUAUGGACUGUAGUUUUGCCAGAGGUCUCUGGGUGCUCUUAACCGAGUGUCCAGUGAUGCUGGCAGGUUUACUUUGAAAAAAUUAGAGUGCUCAAAGCAGGCUUUCACGCCUGAAUAUUCGUGCAUGGAAUAAUAGAAUAGGAAGUCGUUUCUAUUUUGUUGGUUUUCGGAAAUCGACUUAAUGAUUAAUAGGGACAGUCGGGGGCAUUUGUAUUCAAACGACAGAGGUGAAAUUCUUGGACCGUUUGAAGACAAACUACUGCGAAAGCAUUUGCCAAGAAUGUUUUCAUUAAUCAAGAACGAAAGUUAGAGGUUCGAAGGCGAUUAGAUACCGCCCUAGUUCUAACCAUAAACGAUGCCAGCUAGCGAUCUGCCGACGUUUUUUUUGUAGACUCGGCAGGAAGCUUCCGGGAAACCAAAGCAUUUGGGUUCCAGGGGAAGUAUGGUUGCAAAGCUGAAACUUAAAGGAAUUGACGGAAGGGCACCACCAGGAGUGGAGCCUGUGGCUUAAUUUGACUCAACACGGGAAAUCUCACCAGGCCCGGACACUGGAAGGAUUGACAGAUUGAUAGCUCUUUCUUGAUUCGGUGGGUGGUGGUGCAUGGCCGUUCUUAGUUGGUGGAGUGAUUUGUCUGGUUAAUUCCGAUAACGAACGAGACUCUGUCCUGCUAAAUAGUGUCGGCCUCUGUUUUGGGCAGACAAUUCUUCUUAGAGGGACUGGCAACUCUUAGUUGUACGAGAUUGAGCAAUAACAGGUCUGUGAUGCCCUUAGAUGUUCUGGGCCGCACACGCGCUACACUGAAUAGAUCAACGUGUUGUCCCUCUGCGAGAGCAUCGGGUAAACCGCUGAACCCUAUUCGUGGUAGGGAUCGGGGCUUGCAAUUGUUCCCCGUAAACCAGGAAUUCCCAGUAGGCGCAAGUCAUAAGCUUGUGUCGAUUACGUCCCUGCCCUUUGUACACACCGCCCGUCGCUACUACCGAUUGAACGUUUUAGUGAGGUCCUCGGACUGUUUGGUUGGCGAA
rnacentral:rRNA from 8 species